rnacentral:rRNA from 1 species
GAUGAACGCUGGCGGCGUGCUUAACACAUGCAAGUCGAACGGAAAGGCCAUUGCUUGCACUGGUACUCGAGUGGCGAACGGGUGAGUAACACGUGGGUGAUCUGCCCUGCACUUCGGGAUAAGCCUGGGAAACUGGGUCUAAUACCGUAUAGGACACUGGUUUGGAUUCCGUGGUGGAAAGUUUUGUCGUUUUGGGAUGGGUUCGCGGCCGUUCAGCUUUUGGGUGGGGGAGUGGCCCACCUGGGCCUCGACGGGUAGCCGGCCUGGGAGAGUGUACGGACGCUCUGGGACUGAGCUGCGGCCAAGACUGCUGAGGGUGGCAGAAGUGGGGCAUAUCGCACCAUGGGAGCCAGCCUGAUGCAGCGACGCCGCGUGGGGGAUGACGGCCUUCGGGUUGUAAGAUCCUUUCGAUAGGAACGAAGCGUAUUUGUGACGGUACCUGGAGAAGAAGCACCGGCUAACUACGUG